GCACACAUUCCAGCCAAUCAGCAGCAGACCCUCCCUCCCAGACCCUUCCACCUCCUGGACAGCAUCCAUUGUGAAGCUGCAUUCUUAGUGAGCUGUCCAGGAGGUGGGAGGGUCUGGGAGGGAGGGUCUGCUGCUGAUUGGCUGGAAUGUGUCU
rnacentral:miRNA from 1 species